CCGGGAGCGAUAAAGCCUCCUAAAGCGGAGGCGAGGCGCCGCCCAGCGGGCUCGGACUGAGGGCCCGGUAGAGGCGGCGGGGGCUCCCCGGUGGCCAGGCGCGCUCCUCCUCCGUUUCUGCCGGCCGCGCGCGGUGCCUUCUUCCUUCGUCCUGCUGGCGCGGUGGGUAGGAUGCUUGGGGCGCAGGGCCAUCGGGGGGCCGGCCCGCAGCCCCCACCCUCGGAGGAAGGUCCCUGGUCCGGGAAAGUCCGCGGAGGCCCCGAGGUCACUUCGCUGUGGCGGCAGGAACACGAUUGGAGAGCCACAGCCUGUGACCUUAGGGAUUCCGACUGUUGUCUUCGCCUCGCUCGUCCUGCAGGGAGAUGGGGAAGAAAGGGCCUUGGUGGGGCUUCCGGUGGCGCCAGAAAAGCUACCCCAGAUGCUGAAGUCGGCGGGCCUAGAGCGCAGCGUUUUGCAGAGUGGCUCUCGCGGGGACCCAGGAUGGAGUCCAUGGGUGCCUCACCAAGUCUGGACGGUCAUUCCGGACCCUGGGCAGCUCGCGCCGCUCUGCACUCUCCUCCCCGCUCUCCGUCUUUACUGUGCCUGAACUAGCCACCUUCAAAGAUCCAAGCCCCAAGACUC